rnacentral:lncRNA from 1 species
AAAAGCUCUAAAGUUAUUGAAAUGGAGCUCGAAGCCUAACCAUCAACAAAUUGCAUGCAAAUUUUACAAAGCCUAUAUCGUAACUCAUAACAAAGCAUCUCACUGUUUCUUAUAAAUCAGAUACAAUGAUUAUGAAUCAUGAACAUAUUCACCCUCAAGCAAGAACAUAUUUUCCGAAAAACAAAGAAUGCAGCAAAAGGGGCUAUGGACGCCAUGCCGAGCGAUCGCAGUAGACAUGGAUCGCGCCACCACAAUGCCCUUGACACCUAGGAUUUUAGCACCUGGGAAUAUAUAAAGAAAAUCAGAGCAAAGGUGAAUCUAUUCUGAACUCAAGGACACCAAAGUGUGACAAAAUAAAGGGGAAGCAACAAUUCUCCUCAAGAAAUGGUGCUGAUAGGUAGAACAUAUUCCUUUUCAUGCACUGUGGUGGAAGAGUUGCAGAAGAAAUCAAGCUCACCUAUCUUGGAAGGGUCUGACUGCUCUAGGGACAUCAAUCCACAAUAUCCCCAACCACUCAGAACCAAAACAAUAUGCCCUAUCUUCAGUUUCAGACUUCCAGUCAACAGAAACUGUAUGGGCCUAAAUUAAUCUUCAGCGAACAUGGGAAAUAAUAAAUAAGAAAAAUGACUAUCCCUGGAAAUGCAAUACAUGUUGCAAAACAAUCAAGAUCGUCUGAAAAAUACACAUCUUACCCUGCUGCUUGCACUCCUUGACGACCUGCUCAUUCUCCCCGUCGUUGGCCACCUCCCCUCCCCUGCAGCCACGCCCCAUUGCGAAGGAGCGCCGCUGCUUGCACUCCUCAAUGGCAUGCUUCUUCGCCCUAUUGUUGUCCGCCUCUCACUCCCUGUAGCUCCACCCCAAACAGCACAAGGUCCCAAUUCAUAUUCAGAGCUAUUUGAAAAGUUUUGGUCCCAAAUAUCGUUUUCACUUUUAGUCCCAACAAAAAUAUAGAUUUGUUCUGCAUGUAAUUUACAUGACAUGACGAUGCCAUCAACAUAUCCAUCCAUUACAACAUGAACAUUUAUAUUUGUUCUACGGAAAACAGCUGGAUAUAUAAGGGAAUGAACUAAACCGAAAUAAAAGAAAACAUGGCAAUCUCUUUGCAUAAUCUGGAAUGCAAAAAAGCAUAGCUGCCAACUCAAGCUCUAAAUUAACCCAGACCUUUGCUACUUCUAGUAAUUGUAACUAUAACCGAUAAAAAUUAUCAUCUGAAAAAGUCAAACAAAAUUGUUCUCAGUUCUCAACUGAAUGCCUGUAUCCAUAAAACUGAAAUGCUUCACAAAGUACGAAAAUGCACUGAAACGUGAUAAUGAUUUCUAGUACUCACUGCCUAGAACUCAGGUGAUCUAAAUAAAUAAAAAUCAAAAGUUUAUAUAUUAGGUAAAGCAGAUGAAGCUAGAAUUGGGCGAUCAUCUCACUUUUUUUGUAGGAUAUCCGAACAUAUCUUUGAAGCAUAAUCUCUGAACAUAAACUUUAGACAAACCAAUGAUAUGAAACCAAGCAUUGGAAUCAAAUAUGAUCUAAGCAGUUGAAAAAGAAUGGAGGGAGUAUCUAAUAACAUAGAGAUGCUAUUAAUCAAUAUAACUAAAAUGAGCAUGCUAUUUUCGCAGAGAUUGGUUUUUUAGCACGUGAACUAACCAUAGCACGUGAGCUCCCUUCGAGGCACUGGACCAAGCAAAACCACAACAACCCUUAAUCUCCCAAGAGCAGGAGCCUAACAUACUUUCAUAAAAGUGUAGUCCAGAUUAUACAGUCACAAAUAACGCUUUGGUUUUCAACUGGCACAAUUAUUUUUUCCCUACCGCAAGCCUCUGCCUGCAGCUUUAAACUGAACCAGCAAGUUAACAUGUGAUUUAUUUACAAAGUAAUGAUAUAACAACCUAUACUUUCAGAAUGUACAGUUUCAAUCAUGCAGUUAGAAAUAUACUAAUACGGUAGUAACUCUACAUGACUUGUUGCUCAAUUAUCUUUAAAAAAAGAAAAAUCAAUACUAGAGCUAAUUAAAAAUUUAGCACGCCAUUUAUGAGUUCCUCCACAGCCUCCUUUGUCCUGAAAAUUACACAAAGAAAAACCAUUCUUUUCUAAUCUGAAGCACCCUUUCAUGGUCAGGCUGACCAAUCUUUACAGAGCGACAUACACAAACAAAAACAGGAAGGCAGAAGGGAUUUUUUAGGUGGGUUACAAUCUUGAAACAGGUAGUUCACCUUCCAUGAAUAAAUGCGAACAAGCCCUAUAAGGAAAUGCCCUGAUAACUUCAGAGCAAUUCAAACCUGAGGGGACAUUAUGCACUCUGAAAAAAGCACAAGGUAAAAAACUUACAGAAGAAAUGAAAAUGAUAGUGCAUAACCAAAUUUAAACACUAAGUCCUGAAUGUAGGAUUGCAAGGUGGCCAUGAACGCCACCUGUCCACCACCUUUUUCUUUUAAAAGCCAUUUGCUGCCUACUAAUAAACAACAAGUAGAAGAAAAAAAGUGUGUUGCCCAGAAAAUAUGCUAUUAUCAAUAUGUAACCGACCCUAUCUGCUUUGUCUAUGGUUUGACUCCAGUGACUCAUGGCCGACUCUGCCCCCUAGCCGCCACCAUACCCCAUUGAUUUUUCACCAGUCUGUUGAUCUGAUACGGUACGGCUGUCAAAUCCAAAAAGUUUAUAGAAGACUUCGAUGCAUUGUUUCUACCAAAACAUGUACGCAAGGCAUAAAGUGAUCUGGUGCCUUUUCUAGGACAUACUGUAAUGUAAAUUUGUAAGAAAAUGUGGUAUAAACACAAACUGAAAGCUCUGUUAAAUAUACUUAAUUUAGAAGAGACCAUAUUAACAGAGAGCAUGGUCUACUAUAAAGAUUGCCAUGAGAUCAGGCUAGUCUACUUAUCAAGGAUCCACAUUAUACAUAUAAACAUAUCUUAUCAUAACAUGCUAAUAUAAUGUAUCUUCUAUAAGGCACAUAAAAGAAACCACACAUAUAUCUUUUCCUGAACCACAUUCUACUGUCAAAAUCCCCAAAUCAGCAAGAUAAAUAACAUGCUAAUAUAAUGUAUCUUCUAUAAGGCACAUAAAAGAAACCACACAUAUAUCUUUUCCUGGACCACAUUAUACUGUCAAAAUCCCCAAACCAGCAAGAAACAAAUGAGUACCCUAUUUUCAUUGCCUGUACAAACAUGCCUUCACCCUGUGAGGCCAGAAUAGCCUCUAAAGGCCGAGACAUUGGAGUCGAAAUAUAAGGAUAAUUAGAUUCAAUGCGCGUAGAACUCCAGCCACAUUAAGUUUUCCAUUGCCUAGCUGAAGUUACACGAACAAAUGUAAUUAGCUGAUAAAAUUAUCAAGAUCAGUGCUUCAUUCGAUCAAGAAAAGAGAUGAAAUAUGCCUGACUACAUAGUUAUAUAAAUGUGGACAUAUUAAACACUCCUUUUGUGAAUAUUUUAAAAUAUCAGACUACAUCAUAAUAUAUAGAAUCACUACCUGCAAAUAAAAACCUCAUAUCUGUACACGCCAUGUUUUAAAAAACAUAUAUUAUCUAAUUCCAAUGUGCAUGGUGGAGAAAGUAAUAGGAAAGUAGAGACGGCCAGAUGCACCUCCGCAAGACCUUUGAGCCAAAUUCUUCUUCUAUUUGGCCUUCUUCUUUCUUCUUGAGGAAGUCCUCAAUCACUGAGAGGGAGAGAGAGGAGGCUCCUUGCUCCUGUUGCUCUGGUCGUCGCACGAACUCGGCCUUCCACUCCUCAUGGCGCAC